rnacentral:rRNA from 1 species
CCCUUAGAUGUUCUGGGCCGCACGCGCGCUACACUGACGAAGUCAGCGAGCAUGUCCUACGCCGACAGGUGCGGGGAAUCUUGUCAAACUUCGUCGUGAUGGGGAUUGAUUAUUGAAAUUCUUGAUCAUCAACGAGGAAUUCCUAGUAAGCGCAAGUCAGCAGCUUGCGUUGAGUACGUCCCUGCCCUUUGUACACACCGCCCGUCGCUACUACCGAUUGAAUGGUUUAGUGAGAUCUUCGGAUUGGCGCCACUGCGGCUCAGCAAUGGGCUCGGUGGAUGCCGAAAAGUUGAUCAAACUUGAUCAUUUAGAGGAAGUAAAAGUCGUAACA